GACAGAGGGUGCAAACGUUGUUCGGAAUCACUGGGCGUAAAGCGCGUGUAGGCGGCUGCGCAGGUCGGGCGUGAAAUCCCGUGGCUCAACCACGGAAGUGCACCCGAAACCGCGUAGCUGGAGUCUCGGAGAGGAAGGUGGAAUGCUUGGUGUAGAGGUGAAAUUCGUAGAUAUCAAGCGGAACACCAGUGGCGAAGGCGACCUUCUGGACGAUGACUGACGCUGAGACGCGAAAGCGUGGGGAGCAAACAGG
rnacentral:rRNA from 1 species